AACGAACGCUGGCGGCGCGUCUUAAGCAUGCAAGUCGAACGGCAAGAGAGGAGCUUGCUUCUCUCCUAGAGUGGCGGACUGGUGAGGAACACGUGGGUAAUCUACCCUUAAGAUGGGGAUAGCUGCUAGAAAUAGCAGGUAAUACCGAAUACACUCGGCAUAUCACAAGAGGUGUUGAGGAAAGGAAGCUACGGCUUCGCUUGAGGAUGGGCUUGCGUCCCAUUAGCUAGUUGGUGAGGUAAAGGCCCACCAAGGCGACGAUGGGUAUCCGGCCUGAGAGGGUGAACGGACACAUUGGGACUGAGAUGCGGCCCAAACUCCUACGGGAGGCAGCAGCUAAGAAUAUUCCGCAAUGGACGGAAGUCUGACGGAGCGACGCCGCGUGGAUGAAGAAGGCUGAAAAGUUGUAAAAUCCUUUUGUUGAUGAAGAAUAAGGGUGAGAGGGAAUGCUCAUCUGAUGACGGUAAUCGACGAAUAAGCCCCGGCUAAUUACGUG
rnacentral:rRNA from 1 species